CUGAAGAGAGAGGGAGAAGAGAGAGAGAGACUUGGAAGAAAGGGUUUUCGUAUUCCUUGGCUUAAUCAAACCUAUACAGUGCAUGUAUAUAUAAACACAGGGUCAAGUGACCCAAACCCAAAACUCCCUUGACCAACUCUAUGGGAGAUUAGGUUAACCCAAGCCCAUGUACACCCAUGACUCGACCUAAUCUCACCUAUCCUGGGCCCAAACCUGGCCCAUAAAGAGUUGGUCCCUUGAGGCCCACAUGACCUAGACCUCAAGAACCCGAAAGGCCCACAGCCUUUCAACCUAGGGCCCAACUAGCCCUAGAGCCUCCAUGAAGCC
rnacentral:lncRNA from 1 species